GUUUGAAUUUGGUGGCGGCCGUCGCACGUCCGGUUAGGCACGGAGCUGCUCCCUCCCCUCAGCUGGAGCGGCGAGGUUUUUCUCAACCCGUUUCGUGACACGCAGCCUCCACCCAAGCGCCAUGGCUCCGGCUAGGAAGGGCGGCAGUCGGGUGGCCAAGACCAACUCGGUUCGGAGCCGGAAGCUGGCUUCCUUUCUUCGGGACUUCGACCGUGAAGUGCAAAUACGAUCCAAGCAAAUUCAGUCGGACAGGCAGAACCUCCUCAAGGAGAUGGAUAACCUGUACAACAUCGAGAUCUUGCGGCUCCCCAAGGCGCUGCGCGAGAUGAACUGGCUCGACUACUUUGCCCUUGGAGGGAACAAACAGGCGCUGGAAGAGGCAGCAACAGCCGACCUGGAUAUCACAGAAAUAAACAGACUAACAGCAGAAGCUAUUCAGACACCCUUGAAAUCUGCCAAAACACGAAAGAUAAUGAAAGUGGAUGAAAUGAUAGUGGAAGAAGAAGAAGAAAAUAAGAACAGGAAUCUUCAAACUGCAAGAGUCAAAAAGUGUCCUCCAUCCAAGAAGAGAACCCAGUCCGUACAAGGAAAAGGCAAAAGCAAAAGGUCAAGCCAUUAUAACACUAUCACCCCAGCUGUGGGCCGGCUGGAGUUGUCUAUGGUGAAACCAACUCCAGGCCUGACCCCCAGGUUUGACUCGAGGGUCUUCAAGACCCCGGGCCUGCGUACUCCAGCAGCCAGAGAGCGGAUCUACAACAUCUCCGUGAAUGGCAGCCCUCUUGCCGACAGCAGAGAGAUUUUCCUCACAGUGCCAGUGGGCGGUGGAGAGAGCAUGCGAUUACUGGCGAGUGACUUGCAGAGGAUGGACAUCGCACAGCUGGACCCAGAGGCCUUGGGAAACAUCAAGAAACUCUCCAGCCGCCUCGCCCAGAUCUGCAGCAGCAUACGGACUCACAAAUGAGGCUGCCGCGCCGAGAAGCCAAACCUGACUCGAUGGACCCUCAACGGGCACUUCCGGGCCUCUGAGGAGACCUCUUCCCUUCCGGCUGUUUGUUUGCGUGUGAAGUUCCAGAGCAGGGAGUGGUGUUCCUCUGGGAGAAUUUGGGAAGUGGGGAGACACGCUGCUCCCCCAUCGGUUAGAUAAAGCUUUGUUGCUCACGCCUCCCAACCCCACUGCCUGCUGCAUCCGUGCAGCCGAGAUUUCCUGUCAUUCUCCUGGCAGAAUUCUCCUUCCUGCUCUCAGAACUGCCGCCUCUGCCUUGUGUAACCCGGCAUCCUGUCUGUCCUCCAGUGGCAGUGGCGUGGGAGCACCUCAGGUCCCCAGGAAGACUGCCCGCUCCCCCUCCUCAGAGAACUCUGCAUCUGCCGUUUCCGCUCCGUGUUGCUCGAGGCUGGGAGUUUUAGGCUCAGAGAAGUGAGAGCUCUCUGAGGGGAGAGGACGGGUCCAGGGAGCUGGGAGGAAGCAUACAAAUGGGGACAGGACAGCAGAAUGGGACGUGUCCCAGCAGCGGCCACAGCUGAGCCCAUCUCAGCCCGGCGGCCCCCAUCCCUGCUUUCCGCUGUGGUGGAUACUAAACGGGGCUUCGGGAUUGAACACCCGCUGUGCCCAGUCGUUUUUUCCAAGCUGAUUGUGGAACCGCGGUUUGUAUUUAUCCCUUUACUGAAGACCAAAAACUGGUUUGGAGGCAGCUUCCAUGUCUGGCACCUCUACCUCUCUAGUUGGUAGGAAUUUGGGUAAGAGCAUUCUAGGGCUUAGCUUAGUCUAGGGUUUUAUGUGACCAGCUGCAGAGGAACUAUCUCUAAGCUCUCCAUGGUCCAGUGGUCCCUGCCAGGUCCACAGACUUUGCAGAGAACACUUCCCUCUUAUGGGGUUCAUUGGGGGGCAGGUGUAAAUUGCCUGGUGGCCUCAUUCCACGUGUUUGGCCUGUGCCCCGGGCAUCAGCUAGUUACUCCAUACCUCGGUCCCUGCCCUGUGCCCCAGCCUGUACCUCUGCCCUGGCGAAUCAUGAGAUGUGGUCCAAAAACAUGGGAACUGGGAGUUCACUGUGUCCUCCUGUGUGGCUGUGUUCUACUCCGUGUCACUUUGCUCUGUGACCCGCCUAGCAAUCCAGUCCUGUAGCUGUAUUCCUUGUUUCAAGUUGUUUUAUUCUCCCUUUCCUGAAACUUGUGCAUAUCGUGUUCCCGAUUAAUGGCAUCUUUUAAGCUGUUGUAAUUAGGGCUACUGAAAGAGUUCCAGGGCUCUGGCAGAUCUGCCUGCCUAAAAUUCUUUCUGCACUGAAAACGAUCCACAUGGACCUAAUGGCAGAAGAUAAAAAUGGCUCAUCUAGCC